rnacentral:rRNA from 1 species
CCCCUUCGGGGGACAGAGUGACAGGUGGUGCAUGGUUGUCGUCAGCUCCUGUCGUGAGAUGUUGGGUUAAGUCCCGCAACGAGCGCAACCCUUAAGCUUAGUUGCCAUCAUUAAGUUGGGCACUCUAAGUUGACUGCCGGUGACAAACCGGAGGAAGGUGGCGAUGACGUCUAAUCAUCAUGCCGCUUAUGAUUUGCGCUACACACGUGCUACAAUGGACAAUACAAAGGGCAGCGAAACCGCGAGGUCAAGCAAACCCCAUAAAGUUGUUCUCAGUUCGGAUUGUAGUCUGCAACUCGACUAUAUGAAGCUGGAAUCGCUAGUAAUCGUAGAUCAGCAUGCUACGGUGAAUACGUUCCCGGGUCUUGUACACACCGCCCGUCACACCACG